UACUUAGGUUAUUCCACGCCUCGUGUGC
rnacentral:sRNA from 1 species